GGUGGGCAUGGUGGCUCAUGCCUGUAGUCCCAGCUACUUGAGAGGCUGACAGGGAAGGAUCACUUGAGCUUAUGAGUUUAAGACCUGACAGGGCAACAUAGCUAGAUCCUGUCUC
rnacentral:sRNA from 1 species